CGAAGAUCAAGAAACUGCUGAUAUAGAUAAGCCAAAAGUCUCCAAAGUUGUAAAUAAACGAUUAUGGAGCGAGAAUAAAGUGAAUUGCAUCCAGAAGGAGUUUGCACAAUACCUCCAAACAAACACUUACC